CCUACGGGAGGCAGCAGUGGGGAAUAUUGCACAAUGGGCGAAAGCCUGAUGCAGCGACGCCGCGUGAGGGAUGACGGCCUUCGGGUUGUAAACCUCUUUCAGCAGGGAAGAAGCGAAAGUGACGGUACCUGCAGAAGAAGCGCCGGCUAACUACGUGCCAGCAGCCGCGGUAAUACGUAGGGCGCAAGCGUUGUCCGGAAUUAUUGGGCGUAAAGAGCUCGUAGGCGGCUUGUCACGUCGGGUGUGAAAGCCCGGGGCUUAACCCCGGGUCUGCAUUCGAUACGGGCUAGCUAGAGUGUGGUAGGGGAGAUCGGAAUUCCUGGUGUAGCGGUGAAAUGCGCAGAUAUCAGGAGGAACACCGGUGGCGAAGGCGGAUCUCUGGGCCAUUACUGACGCUGAGGAGCGAAAGCGUGGGGAGCGAACAGGAUUAGAUACCCUGGUAGUCCACGCCGUAAACGGUGGGAACUAGGUGUUGGCGACAUUCCACGUCGUCGGUGCCGCNGCUACGCAUACGUUACCCUACCGUCGGGUAGGUACGGCCGCGACGGACGUAAACCGUACGAAACGUAGUAAGUUAGUACGGUUCGUUGUAGACGUUGCCGACGGACGACGACGAGGGAGAGG
rnacentral:rRNA from 1 species